AGGGAGGAUCAUUACUGAGUUUACGCUCUACAACCCUUUGUGAACAUACCUAUAACUGUUGCUUCGGCGGGUAGGGUCUCCGCGACCCUCCCGGCCUCCCGCCUCCGGGCGGGUCGGCGCCCGCCGGAGGAUAACCAAACUCUGAUUUAACGACGUUUCUUCUGAGUGGUACAAGCAAAUAAUCAAAACUUUUAACAACGGAUCUCUUGGUUCUGGCAUCGAUGAAGAACGCAGCGAAAUGCGAUAAGUAAUGUGAAUUGCAGAAUUCAGUGAAUCAUCGAAUCUUUGAACGCACAUUGCGCCCGCCAGCAUUCUGGCGGGCAUGCCUGUUCGAGCGUCAUUUCAACCCUCAAGCUCUGCUUGGUGUUGGGGCCCUACAGCUGAUGUAGGCCCUCAAAGGUAGUGGCGGACCCUCUCGGAGCCUCCUUUGCGUAGUAACUUUACGUCUCGCACUGGGAUCCGGAGGGACUCUUGCCGUAAAACCCCCAAUUUUCCAAAGGUGACUCGC
rnacentral:rRNA from 1 species